AUUCAAUGAAGGAACUUGGUAUGUGGGAAUGACCUUGGAGAACAGAAGUAAGAAGUUGCAGACUGGACCACAGUAUGUAAAAGGCUUGGUUAUGAUGGAUAGCAUUUCUUUCAAAAUCAUAUUUCCUGCCCAACAUCUUCAGAAAGAUUGCUCGCACACCACUGUAAUAAAGCCAAGAAAUGUU